GUUCGGAGCCAGCAGCAGCAGAGCUCUUGACAGCGCGCCGCGUCGCUCGCGGAGUGGUGGUCGCUCUACUCGCGGCCAACGCGUGGGCAGCGCGAUCGCCGCCGCAAGAGAGAGAGAGAGGGGGGCCGCGGCUGGCGCCCCUCUGGCCGCCCUCCUCUUGCAUCAUCAGAUGGCCUGCAAACGUGAGAUUUACUAAUUGCAAGUGAACACGUAGACGUUGAUGGCUGAAGUUGGGUGUGAGACAGGGGUUGUCCCAGCGUCUGCUUUGUCGGCGGGUCGGGAGGAGCGAGAGUGCGAUUUAUUGCCUCAUCUCGAAGUACAAAUGUGCGAGAUCGAUUGCGCCACGUCCGUCCGUGCAUCUCGGAUAAGUCAGAUUUCCCGCCGACUAAUGAACUGCAGCUCUCAACUGUGUUGCGCAUUUUAUGAGGUGCAAAUGAAACGCGUAUUAAUAGAUAGAGGCAGCGAUUAAGUGCAGAUGGCUGAUUUUAGCUAAACAAACCGCCGAGAGAUGAGUAGGGCAGGGGCCCAUCUAUUUUACGUUUUCUUUCAUUAUAUGCGCGUUUCAGAACGAAAGGUGCUUCAAGGUAUAUUGUUAAGUAUGGGCGGCAAGUUGUUCCAGAUGUGGUUAAAUGAGAUAUUUUUGAAGCAGAUAAAAUUUGUUUUAGACUUUAAUUAUUAUUGCUUCAAAAGCAGCAGAUUGAUGGAAGAAACUGA